GGAAGCGCAUGGGGCCCGGUGAUCCUCCCGGUGUUCAAAACCGGCGGUUGGCGGGUUUGCCCUUCAAUGGUGGGUUCGACACUCGUUUCCGCCA
rnacentral:tRNA from 1 species